UACGUAGGGGGCGAGCGUUGUCCGGAGUUACUGGGCGUAAAGGGCAUGCAGGCGGUCGGACGCGUUUCGGGUGACAGCGGGUGGCUUAACUACCCGAGUGGUCGAAAGACGGUUUGACUUGAGGACGCGAGAGGGACACGGAAUUCCGGGUGGAGUGGUGAAAUGCGUAGAGAUCCGGAGGAACACCGGUGGCGAAGGCGGUUCUCUGGGCCUUACCUGACACUGAGGAGCGAAAGCGUGGGGAGCGAACAGG
rnacentral:rRNA from 1 species